rfam:TPA: Bos taurus chromosome 27, whole genome shotgun sequence.
UCCCUGGUGGUCCAGUGGUUUAAGACCCUGUGCUCCAAAUGCAGGGGGCCUGGGUUCAAUCCCUGGCCAGGGAA